AACACAUGCAAGUCGAGCGGAUGAAGAGAGCUUGCUCUCUGAUUCAGCGGCGGACGGGUGAGUAAUGCCUAGGAAUCUGCCUGGAUAGUGGGGGACAACGUUUCGAAAGGAACGCUAAUACCGCAUACGUCCUACGGGAGAAAGCAGGGGACUUCGGGCCUUGCGCUAUCAGAUGAGCCUAGGUCGGAUUAGCUAGUUGGUGAGGUAAAGGCUCACCAAGGCGACGAUCCGUAACUGGUCUGAGAGGAUGAUCAGUCACACUGGAACUGAGACACGGUCCAGACUCCUACGGGAGGCAGCAGUGGGGAAUAUUGGACAAUGGGCGAAAGCCUGAUCCAGCCAUGCCGCGUGUGUGAAGAAGGUCUUCGGAUUGUAAAGCACUUUAAGUUGGGAGGAAGGGCAUUAACCUAAUACGUUAGUGUUUUGACGUUACCGACAGAAUAAGCACCGGCUAACUUCGUGCCAGCAGCCGCGGUAAUACGAAGGGUGCAAGCGUUAAUCGGAAUUACUGGGCGUAAAGCGCGCGUAGGUGGUUUGUUAAGUUGAAUGUGAAAGCCCCGGGCUCAACCUGGGAACUGCAUCCAAAACUGGCAAGCUAGAGUAUGGCAGAGGGUGGUGGAAUUUCCUGUGUAGCGGUGAAAUGCGUAGAUAUAGGAAGGAACACCAGUGGCGAAGGCGACCACCUGGGCUAAUACUGACACUGAG
rnacentral:rRNA from 1 species